rnacentral:rRNA from 1 species
CCUACGGGGGGCAGCAGUGGGGAAUAUUGGACAAUGGAGGAGACUCUGAUCCAGCAAUUCUGUGUGUGUGAAGAAGGUUUUAGGACUGUAAAACACUUUUAGAAGGGAAGAAAAAAAUGACGGUACCUUCAGAAGAAGCGACGGCUAAAUACGUGCCAGCAGCCGCGGUAAUACGUAUGUCGCGAGCGUUAUCCGGAAUUAUUGGGCUUAAAGGGCAUCUAGGCGGGUAAGCAAGUUGAAGGUGAAAAGCUGUGGCUCAACCAUAGUCUUGCCUACAAAACUGUUUAUCUAGAGUACUGGAAAGGUGGGUGGAACUACACGAGUAGAGGUGAAAUUCGUAGAUAUGUGUAGGAAUGCCGAUGAUGAAGAUAACUCACUGGACAGAAACUGACGCUGAAGUGCGAAAGCUAGGGGAGCAAACAGGAUUAGAUACCCUGGUAGUC